UAUCAAAUGAUCCUAUUUCAGAAAAACAAGUAUUUUCAAAUUAACGGUGAAAAUCAUUUAAACAAUUUAAUUUUGGAAUUGUGACUUGGCAACAAUAGUGCCAUAAUUUAAUUUAUUAAUUUUGAGUUAAUGUAUGCCUCAUGGACAAUUUUUACGGCCAUGUACAUAGGACCCACUAUGAUGUAUGUAUCGUAUAUCAAUGACAUCCAUCCGUUUUAUCAAAUCAUUUUAAGGCAUGGUCCAAAAAUGAGGUAGAUCCAGAUCUAAGGUGGACCACUAGUGGGUGAGGCCUUGAAAUUGGGGUCCACCUUGAUGUAUUUGUAUAUCUGUGCCGUCAAUCUAUUUUGCCAACUCAUUUUAAAGCAUGAUCCAAAAAAUCAGGCAGAUUUAAAUCUUAGGUGGACCACUAGUGAAUGACGCCCUGAACAUAGGACCCACCUUGAUGCAUUUGUUGUAUAUCCAUGUUGUCCAUCCUUUUUGCCAACUCAUUUUGGGGCAUGGUCCAAAAAAUGAGGCAAAUCCAAAUCUUUGGUGGACCACACAGUAGAGAUUGAAUUCCCACAAUUAAAACUUAUAUUAUUAUUAUUAUUAUUUGUUAAUAUUAUUUUUUAAGUUGUGACUUGUGUUUUCCUUAAUCCAGGUCCAUGCAACCUUAUCAAUAGUUUCGAUGGUAAAUAAACAUUACAGUGGGCCAUAAUAAGUUUUUAAUGGUGGGCAUUCAAUCCUACUGUGUGGUCCACUUGAGAUCCGGAUCUGCUUCAUUUUAGGGACCAUACCUUGAAAUGAUCAAGAAAAACUGAUGGGUGGCAUGGAUAUAUAAUACAACACAUAAAUCAAGGUGGGCCACACCCACUAAAACAGUGCAAGUGCACUAAGCAGCAUGCGCCGCAGACUACUGGAUAAAAUAAGGUGCGUGGCUCCAUUCAUUUUUUUCGAAACUACAAGAGAGGGAGAGAGAAAUGAGAGAGAAAAAGGAAAAAAUGAGAGGGAAAGAAAGGGAAAAAGAGAGAAAAGGAGAAAACGAGAGGGAACAAGAGAGAGGGUGGAGAGAGAGCCACACCAGAGGGGAAA